rnacentral:lncRNA from 1 species
CCUGCUGCUGCCCGUAGUAGCUACUCUGCCCGUACGCCGGAGGAGCUCCUCCGUACGCCGGGUACCCCGACGGCGGUGCCGCAUACGACGGCUGCGGCGGCGCCCCGUAGGUGCUCGCGUACGGAAAGUCCCUGGUCCCGGGCGGCGCCAUGCCAUACGGCGGCGCAUAGUAGGGUUCCGGCGCACGAUAGCUGGGAUCGCGGACGGUGAGGGAGAUGUCGAGCUUCCCAUGCGGGCGGCCGGAGGGGCGCUUGAGGUGGAGCGUGCGGUCGGCGCGGAUGCCGAGGCCGACGUCGUCGACGACGUCGCGGAGGGGGAGGCGCGCCGAUCCGAUGAGCGG